UACGAAGGGAGCUAGCGUUGUUCGGAAUCACUGGGCGUAAAGCGCACGUAGGCGGCUUUGUAAGUUAGAGGUGAAAGCCCGGAGCUCAACUCCGGAAUUGCCUUUAAGACUGCAUCGCUCGAAUCAUGGAGAGGUGAGUGGAAUUCCGAGUGUAGAGGUGAAAUUCGUAGAUAUCGGGAGGAACACCGGCGGCGAAGGCGGCGAUCUGGGUCGAUACUGACGCUGAGGUGCGAAAGCGUGGGGAGCAAACAGG
rnacentral:rRNA from 1 species